rnacentral:rRNA from 1 species
CAAGGUCUCCGUUGGUGAACCAGCGGAGGGAUCAUUACCGAGUUUACAACUCCCAAACCCCUGUGAACAUACCUUAUGUUGCCUCGGCGGAUCAGCCCGCGCCCCGUAAAAAGGGACGGCCCGCCGCAGGAACCCUAAACUCUGUUUUUAGUGGAACUUCUGAGUAUAAAAAACAAAUAAAUCAAAACUUUCAACAACGGAUCUCUUGGUUCUGGCAUCGAUGAAGAACGCAGCAAAAUGCGAUAAGUAAUGUGAAUUGCAGAAUUCAGUGAAUCAUCGAAUCUUUGAACGCACAUUGCGCCCGCCAGUAUUCUGGCGGGCAUGCCUGUUCGAGCGUCAUUUCAACCCUCAAGCCCAGCUUGGUGUUGGGAGCUGCAGUCCUGCUGCACUCCCCAAAUACAUUGGCGGUCACGUCGAGCUUCCAUAGCGUAGUAAUUUACAUAUCGUUACUGGUAAUCGUCGCGGCCACGCCGUUAAACCCCAACUUCUGAAUGUUGACCUCGGAUCAGGUAGGAAUACCCGCUGAACUUAAGCAUAUCAAUAA